UCAGAUUUUACACUGAACUGCAAGAACUGUCAAACCAUCAGUGGGUCUUAAAAACCAAAUUGGCUCAGUUUAAUAUAAAAAAUGCAUUUAACUCCUACGUAUGUGUUACAAUCUGGCUUGCAGGGUGCAGGCUUUUAAUGAUGGAUAUAGGAAUUAAAAUGUUAAUCUGGUAUUCAUAAUGUAGCCAUGUUCUUAGCCUGGAAGUGUUUGAUUAAACAUUGUACUUUCCAGCAAUUAUUAAGGCAGAACUGUCCAGGACUUGCUUUCUUCAUAAGUUUGGACAAUCCUGGCCAAGAAAGCUGAAACUCAGAAGAACAAAUUAGUUCCUUGAGUUCUCGGUUGUGUGUGCAUCCCCUGAUUUUACACUGAGGAUGGUCCCGAUGAAAUGUGAGCUAGGAAUUGUGAAAAGCUUAAACCAAAAUGACAGUAGAUGACAGUCAUGAAGCAAGCUUCACAGUUGUGAUAGAAGACAACAAGGGACCUUGACUUGGAGCUCAACAAACAAUUGCAUAAUUAAAAGGCAAUCCAGUAACAACCUGGCAUUUGUGAACAGCUAUCACAGUGGACAGCAUGAAGAAUCCCCUGGCAUAGGAAAAACAGAAUAAGAAUCUCAAACUUUUGCACAGUGAAACAAAUGCUAAAAGUGAAAAUUAUCAACAACAAAAGAGUGAUGAUUAAAGGCUUAAAUUUGCAGUAGCAGGGUGGGUAAUUUGCCUUUGAAUUUACCCAAAUACACUAAUUAACUAUAUAUAAGUAAUUAUAUAUUCAGAUAGAUGGUUGUUUGCCUUUUGAAUAAUUCAGCUAGCCUUAAAUGGGUGCCCUGAUUUUGAAUCCAGAAGGUAUUCAGAUAUCU